rnacentral:ncRNA from 2 species
AUAAUACUUUAGGGGUGCCCAUAGGCUGAGAUCAAGACCCUUUGAACCUGAUGCUGCUCGUACAGCCGAAGGGAAAAGUUAUAUAUAAUUA